rnacentral:tRNA from 1 species
CAAAGUGAAGCUAUCAUAGCACCUCUAACAGAGGGUGAAUUUAUUCAACUAGAUCACUUUAA